AUGUCGGCAGGGUCCGCUGCAUUACGAGCCCCAAAACUUGCGCGGCUGCAGAGUGGAAGCACCCCGAUGGAUUUCCUGGAGUGUGAAGAACCCAGCGCGCAUGUGCUACAAUUGCUGAAAUCGAAGCAAUGCAAUGUCAGGGUGUGGACUGCAGGUUCUUUGAGUGGCAUGACGAUCCAAAUACUCCAUUUCUGA
rnacentral:rRNA from 1 species